rnacentral:rRNA from 1 species
AUUGAACGCUGGCGGCAUGCUUUACACAUGCAAGUCGAACGGUAACAGGCCGCAAGGUGCUGACGAGUGGCGCACGGGUGAGUAAUGCAUCGGAACGUGCCCAGUCGUGGGGGAUAACUACUCGAAAGAGUAGCUAAUACCGCAUACGAUCUAUGGAUGAAAGCGGGGGACCGUAAGGCCUCGCGCGAUUGGAGCGGCCGAUGUCAGAUUAGGUAGUUGGUGGGGUAAAGGCUCACCAAGCCAACGAUCUGUAGCUGGUCUGAGAGGACGACCAGCCACACUGGGACUGAAACACGGCCCAGACUCCUACGGGAGGCAGCAGUGGGGAAUUUUGGACAAUGGGCGCAAGCCUGAUCCAGCAAUGCCGCGUGCAGGAAGAAGGCCUUCGGGUUGUAAACUGCUUUUGUACGGAACGAAACGGCUCUGGUUAAUACCCGGGGCUAAUGACGGUACCGUAAGAAUAAGCACCGGCUAACUACGUG